UUGAGCCCAGCCUAGGCAACUUAGUGACUUAGCCAGAUCCUGUCUCAAAGUAAAAAAGGGCUCCAGAUGUAGCGAGUGUGGAGGGCCUGGCCUCCGUUCCCGGUACUGCACAAAUAAAUAAAUGAAUAAAGUCAUGCAGUGAAUCAGUCUAGUGGCUUCUAAUUUACACACAGAUACCAAGAUUUCAGGAAGAGAGGAGUGGUCCACACACAGUAAAUUGCAUGUUUUGUCACCACUGGUUAUCGGUGAUUUCUUCUGUAAAAUCUUCUUCUUUCCUCAGACGAAAGAGUUACUUAGAAAAUAUCCGGACUGCAAGUAGGGGCAAAUCAAUGGGCUGAAUACUCCAUUCUCCUUUCUGUAUUCUCUGUGUCCCUUAAAAAAUGGUCAGUCUAGAUCUUUACAGUGUAAAUGAGGAGGCAAAAACUUGUUAUUGAGGGAAAAAUCUUCAGAGGACACGGAGCCGGCCUUGCGCAUUUAUUUUUCUGUACGGUGGUUGACAGUCCUGAGUGUAGUUUUUGAAAAUAAAUUAUAAUAAUCGUAGCUUCACCUCACGGAACUGGCAGAGAAGACCUCGGUGGGAAGAUUUGGGACUCGUCCCCAGUUCCGCAGCCGUGGGAGUUUCAGCCAAUACCCAGCUACACGCGGAGCGGGGCAACACCAGGCUCUUCCUGUGCUUCGGUUCUUUUUCUCUCUACUUUUUUACUAUAGAUAUUUUUAAUUGACCGUUUCAUUAGUAUAAUCUUAGAUUCAGAAGUGAUUUUUCUGCUCAACUCCCACCUUAGUGCAUCUUUAAAAGUGAAACCGCGAGCGUGCAAAGGGCGCGUUAGGUGUCCACUGACCAGAGAACAAACAAGUGGGCAUUUGGUUGCGACUUCUAACAAUGGAAGCAAAAACCUGCCUCCCGAGGGUCCUGGGCAGCCGGCUCACAUUAGGAGGCGUGGCGCCACCUUGUGGCCGACAGGAGGCAACUCCGCCUCCAAGAAGAGGGAAGUUAGAAAACGGUUGUGCUUCCAUGGAGACCUGUAUACUGUCGGGACCGAGAGACGGCUCCUCUGACUGACUUAAUUUGGAGUUUACGGAGGCCAUGUUAAUUAUAGAGAACUGACCACAAAAUAACUCUUGUCUGUGGAGAUGCAAAUUGUGUUCUUUGGCUGACGCCCCACCUCAUUCUGUCUCCGUGGCAUGUUCGUUUUCCUGUUCCUAUGCUGUAGAUGCCUCUGUUCGCAUUGUGUUUUUGAACCCUGGUAGUGCCUGCCUGGUUCUCUGGGUGGUUAAUAGGUAAAGUAACAUCUUUGAAGUGCUCCUUUUUAUGUCAUAUGACAGCCACGAUUUUACUGUGUUUUGAAAAUUAUUUUCUCCACUCUCAACGUCUUGAUGACCCCAUCGACACCUCCACCACACCCCGCCUGACACCCUGAGCGCCCCGGCCCCUCACCUGGCUUGCUUCAUUUUUUCGUAGUCUUUCUCUUCCAACCUGCUGUGGCAUCUCAUUCCGUCUUCUGUGUCUAUAUGGUUCCUGUUUACCUUCUCUGCUUGUCCGUGGAUUGGCAUUUAGGCUGAGUCUGUAUCUUGGUUAUUGUGAAUUGUUAUAAAUGUUGAGCUGCAGUAAACAUGGGACUGCAGAUCUCUUUCUGACAGCCUGGCUUCAUUUCCUUUGGUCGCAUACCCGGCAGUUUGAGCGCUGGUUCUCAUGAUAGUGCUGCUUUCACUGUUUUGAGGAGCCCCAUCCCGUUCUCCUGAAUGGCUGUACUAAUUCAGAUCCCCACCCCCUGUGUGUAAGAGUUCCUGUUUCUCUGUAUGCCCACCGGCACCCGACAGGCUAUACCAAGUUAUCUAGCUGUACCGCAGCAAGAUCGUGGCUAUAAAUUACAAAGGAAAUGUGCGGUUGGGACAAAUAGUAGGUAAGUGUAUUCUUGCGAGAGAGCUGGAGGAUCUCAGCCAGCUGCUGUGCCCUCCGCCUGGGGCCAGUGCUGGCACAAAGAGGGAGAAGCUCAGGCAGAGAUGGAGAGGGCCCGAUAGCAGAGGAUAGAGGGGAAUGUAGAGGAAGACAGAAAGUAUGGGCUUUGGUAGUGUUUCAUCACUUGACUGAAUACCUGAGAGGGAAGGGUUUAUGCUGGCUUAUGAUUUCAGAGGUUUCAGUCCCUGGUUGCUGGAUGCUAUUGUUCACAGCCUGAGGGGGAGGCCCUGAAACUUCAGCUGUUCACGUCCUGGCAGCCAGGAACAAGAGGACAAGGAGCAGGGGAAGGAGAGGAAAGAAGAGGAUCUGGAGCUGAGAGUUGCGGGCAGGGAGCUAAAUGAAGUUGAGCUGAUGAAGGAGUGUAAUUUAAAGCGGGCUUCUGCAGGCGGAGAAUGAGACAUAAAUCUCAUGCAUCAACGCUUUCUUGAGCUUUUUGUUAAUCAGAGCCACAGUUUCUGGCUGGAUUAUAUUCUUUUAAAGCGGCAUCCAGAUGGGUUGGACUUCAUUGUACCUGUGUGUUACGAUUAUCAGAGUUCGUUCAGGAUUCUAGGCCCCAGGGAAGUAAUUUCUCUUUUCCUGAGUGAGAGGGGCUGCUGGCUUUGCGAAUGUGUACGGUGGCCGAAGGGCGUGCUCCCAGGCGCAGGGUUAGAACUGUUUUCUUUCCAGCCGUCUCAGAGGGCUGAAUCCGUAGCUGCAGAGGUGUGGAAGAAUAUAAUGCCCAGUUGUAUGUGAAAACCAGUGUAAAUUAUGAAACUCACCUUCAUCACAAUUAAAAUAAACAGUGGAACCGAAGUGAAAGAACAGUUUGUGCCCUCGAAGGGAGAGGACGUGUGCAGAGCCACUGGCUGGUGGCUCGCUGCCCACCUGGUCCCCGCCUGUCCCCCGCCCCCGGGAGCCUGUUGUAAUUCCACCCAGGGCUGUGGCUGGCGAGGGUGGCAGGCCUGGUGCUGCGCGCGCGACAUCCCCCAGUGACUUCCGCAGAGUGGAGAGAGGAGCGGCAGGCCUUGUAGACGGGAGUCCAAGUGCAGAGGAAAUACUUUCUGAGACUCAUCUCGGAGUAAUGUGUGACUGGGAUGCGCAGCAAUCCAGCUUUAGGGCCGUGCGGUCGGGAGCCCGGGGCCUAAGUCAGCUAAGGAGUGGCUGGGAGUGCAGUGCGGGGACAGGGGACCAGGUCGGUGCCCUGUGCGGGCGCCCGCGCCUUAGUCAGCACCGCUCAGCCCUGUGACCUGUGAGUCUGGGUGUCUGCGGUCCCUCUCAUCCAGUAACUGCUCUUUCCAGUUGAGACACACCCAGUGUCAGGGACCUGAGCUCUCCUGCGACACGUGGUGUGUGCGGGGCAGUGCAGCACCCCAGCCUCUUCAGACCUGGCUCAGAGAGGGCCUGUCAUCCCUGCUAUCUAAUCGGGGCCCAGGUGGAGCUGGGGAGCAGAGAGCUGGGGACGCUGGUGUGGCCCCUCCAGCCUCUCUCUCUGCACCCAGCAGCGGAGGCCCUGACAACGAGGGAGUGGAGUGCACGGAUAGCAAUCCGGGUGCGUGCGGAGGUCCACAGAGCCUACUAGUGGGAGUGCAAGGUGGUCACGGGUGGGUGCUUCUGUCCCCCAGCUGCCCCCGGGGAAUGUGCCAAAGGGAGGCAGUGGCCGGGCACUUUGUCCUCUGCCCCCAAGCUGGAGGCCUGGCAGCACUUUCCAUCCACAGUGCCGUGCUACCCUAAAGCUCAGCCCCCCUGAACCGUUGCUUUGAACAUCGUGUUUAAAGUUUCAAAGAUAUUUAUAUAUUUAUUACUGGUCUUUUGAGACAGGGUCUUGCUGUGUAGUUCAGGCUGGCCUCGAACU